GUGUGUGUGUGUGUAUGUAUGUAUAUAUGAUAUAUUGAGAUGGAUAGAUAAACUUCCUCAACAUAGAUUUUUUAUUUUAUGAUUUGUUCCAAAUCACUCAUUCAUGAGGUUCCAUGAUUGCUGGGAUGCUGUCUUAAGGUUGUUGUUUUUUUUUUUUUUUUUUUGCAAGUGGUCACAAAACGCUUGAAUGACAUCCAUUUCUACUCAACUAGUAGAGUAAACGUAUCUCAAGCUGUUGCUGCCAGUCUAAGCAGUAGACAGCGAGGCAUCUCACUAGGUUGUGGAACAGACAUGAGCACGUGCACAUACGGUUUAAAUCAACAAAAUUGCCAUAAGCUCGGCUGAAGAGGAGGAAGCUGCCUGAUGAAGAGCACAAGAGGCCAUGAAGGCCACAGAAGCAGGCAAAGGUGAACUGAGGCAUAGUCUACCUAUCUCUGGAUCUCCACAAACCUGCAGAGAUGGAAAGAGAGAAAGAGAAAUAAGCCCUCCGGAGAGACUCUCAAUCACUCUCUGUGUGGCACUGACAAGCCUGGCUGAACGGCCCAGUGGUCCCAUGAUCCCUCAGCAUCGAUCUGUCUACCAUGGAGAGGAACUCCAAUGUGGGUUUAGCUAGAUGUGGCGGCAUCAGAUAAAACCACGGACCGAAGUGCUGACAGGAAGAACACAAGCACCAGCCACAAAACAUGAAGAGUGAAGCUGAUAUCUGCUCCUUGGAGUAAGUGACUCCCUGAAUGUCAACCCCUCAGGGGGAAUUUUAUUUCUUGACAGACUGAGCGAAUGAGCUAAGCUAGCACUGUUUCACAGGCCUUUGCAAAAUUUGAAUAUUCUGUUCAAAUUGGAUUUGUUUUCACCUCAUUUUUAAGGGAAGUUGAAAAUACUACUUGUGAGGCAAAACAUAUAAAUCCUAUAAUAAAUUAUUAACCAUCCUAACUGGAAUGACUCA
ensembl:lncRNA